rnacentral:rRNA from 1 species
GAUGAACGCUGGCGGCGUGCUUAACACAUGCAAGUCGAACGGGAAAUCUUUCAUUGAGACUUCGGUGGAUUUGAUUUAUUUCUAGUGGCGGACGGGUGAGUAACGCGUGGGUAACCUGCCUUAUACAGGGGGAUAACAGUCAGAAAUGGCUGCUAAUACCGCAUAAGCGCACAGAGCUGCAUGGCUCAGUGUGAAAAACUCCGGUGGUAUAAGAUGGACCCGCGUUGGAUUAGCUAGUUGGUGGGGUAACGGCCCACCAAGGCGACGAUCCAUAGCCGGCCUGAGAGGGUGAACGGCCACAUUGGGACUGAGACACGGCCCAGACUCCUACGGGAGGCAGCAGUGGGGAAUAUUGCACAAUGGGGGAAACCCUGAUGCAGCGACGCCGCGUGAAGGAAGAAGUAUCUCGGUAUGUAAACUUCUAUCAGCAGGGAAGAUAGUGACGGUACCUGACGAAGAAGCCCCGGCUAACUACGUG